UACAGAGGGUGCGAGCGUUAAUCGGAAUUACUGGGCGUAAAGCGUGCGUAGACGGUUAUUUAAGUCGGGUGUGAAAGCCCCGGGCUCAACCUGGGAACUGCAUUCGAGACUGAAUAGCUAGGGUACGGUAGAGGGAAGUGGAAUUUCCGGUGUAGCGGUGAAAUGCGUAGAUAUCGGAAGGAACAUCAGUGGCGAAAGCGACUUCCUGGACCAGUACCGACGUUCAGGCACGAAAGCGUGGGGAGCAAACAGG
rnacentral:rRNA from 1 species